rnacentral:rRNA from 1 species
UACGAAGGGUCCAAGCGUUAUCCGGAUUUAUUGGGUUUAAAGGGUGCGUAGGCGGCUUAUUAAGUCAGUGGUGAAAGACUUCAGCUUAACUGAAGAACUGCCAUUGAUACUGAUGAGCUUGAAUGUAGUUGAGGUGGGCGGAAUGUGUCAUGUAGCGGUGAAAUGCUUAGAUAUGACACAGAACACCGAUUGCAAAGGCAGCUCGCUAAACUAUGAUUGACGCUGAUGCACGAAAGCGUGGGGAGCAAACAGG